ACGUAGGGUGCGAGCGUUAAUCGGAAUUACUGGGCGUAAAGCGUGCGCAGGCGGUUUUGUAAGACAGAGGUGAAAUCCCCGGGCUCAACCUGGGAACUGCCUUUGUGACUGGCAGGCUGGAGUGUGGCAGAGGGGGGUGGAAUUCCGCGUGUAGCAGUGAAAUGCGUAGAUAUGCGGAGGAACACCGAUGGCGAAGGCAGCCCCCUGGGACAUUACUGACGCUCAGGUACGAAAGCGUGGGGAGCAAACAG
rnacentral:rRNA from 1 species